UGACCUUUGUAAAUUCUGUUAAUAGUGCUUUUCUUUUCUUUAUGCUGCUAAGUGCAUUUAUUUCAAAUUUGAUAGUCCGAUAUAGUUUUUAAGGAAGAAAUAUAGAAAAAUAAAUGAAUCUUUCAUUAAAAUUCCUAUGGUGGCCUUUUACAAGACUUAAAUUUUGUUCCUUUUAAAAUUUUCCCUCUUUUUUCAAUGGCUGUAAAAAAAAAAUUGCCCUUCAUACGAGUCCACAUGGCUUUUCAGAAUAUUUCAGUUUAAUAUCUGGUAUAUUAUGUUAUGUGCCUUUGUUCUGAAUUUGUAUGAAAUAUUUGCCACUGGAAGCUAAGCUAACAACAAUCAGUCAAUAAGUACAUUGCUCAUUGGUUUUUUUAUCUUGAUAAGUGUAGACAUUAAUAAAGAGUACCCACCUUAAUAUACCAAAAUUUACUUAUGAAAAUAUAGUCUCAUGUACAGUACAUUGAUUUUCUGACACAAAUAAUAAUAUGAUACUGCACAGAUCGAUUGGCUACAAGUUUUAAAAAAUCAUAGCCCUCUCCAACUUGUUGACAGAAAAAAUAAACCUUGAAGUAGAAGUGAACAUGAUUAAAGUUGUAAUUAUGACUCGCCAACAUUUGUCACGCAUUUCUUAUUUCUACUUUUUUGUAUAUUGUACAGUAUGAAUUGUAUAGACACAUUUAAUUUUAUAUCAUUUAAAGAUGACUCCAAUUUUUGUGGGAUUUCUGCUCAAUUCUUUUCACUAAAUUUUAUUUCUUCAACAGAUCUUAAAUCAAACAGGGUUACUAACUUUUGCUUCUGUGUUUUAUCACACCAUUGAGGUGCUAAACCAAAAAAUCAUUUAAGCAUAAUUUUCAAAUAGUAUUUUGUCUCAUUGCAAAUAAAUCAUUCCAACAUUUUUUUAUAUAUUUUUAUGUCAUAUUUGUUAGAGUUCAUCUAUUUUUGUUGUAAGAAUGUUUUUGAUAAAAUAAUUCAAAUAUAGGAAUAAAUAAUGCACUGAAACUUACACACCUUAUAAAAAAGUACUGCUAAUGCAUAUGAAUGUAUAUGUUUAAGGACACUAAUUUUCCCGGAUUAUAUAAAAAAAAGUUUAAAUUUUGUAAAUUCUUAAACAUUUAAAUUUGUGGUCAACCUUUUCCCAUAAAAUCCAGGAAAUUGAAACCCCAUAAAUAAUAAUAAAUCCACAGUAUUGAUAUUCAUAUUGUUUGUAAGUGUCUAAUUUUUAUACUAUUAACCCUCCACAAACAAGUCUGACUGAGAAUUGAUUCUAAUUCUAUAUUACUUUUUACCAGAUUUUAUCUAUUAUAAUUUCAGAUUUGUUGAUUACAAAUUUUUUAUAUGCAUAGUAAUUGCUUUUGUUAAAAGCUAU
rnacentral:lncRNA from 1 species